ACCCCCGUAGUCGAAACGUCAGCGGCUCGUUUGAGAGACACCCAAGUAGCACGGGGCCCGAGAAAUCCCGUGUGAAUCUGGCGGGACCACCCGCUAAGCCUAAAUAUUCCCUGGUGACCGAUAGCGGAUAGUACCGUGAGGGAAUGGUGAAAAGUACCGCGGGAGCGGAGUGAAAUAGUACCUGAAACCGUGUGCCUACAAGCCGUGGGAGCGUCGGAUGGAAGCUUGCUUCCAUCUCGUGACUGCGUGCCUUUUGAAGAAUGAGCCUGCGUAGUUUGCGGUGUGUUGCGACGGUUAACCCGGUGGGUAAGCCGUAGCGAAAGCGAGUCCGAAGU
rnacentral:ncRNA from 1 species